UUUUUUUUUUUUUUUUUUUUUUUUUUUUUUGCAUUGGCUUUAGAAACAUUGCAUAUGGGAUGAGGCAAUGACAGAGUUGAUUAAAACUGCAUGGAUGGUCAAAGCUGCUAGAAGAUACAGUGAUUUCCUCCAUGAACAGAGAAUAAAAGGAAAACAACCAUAAAUUAGAGAAAAUGAGUUGGCAAAGUGUCAGAGUGCUUGGAAUACACCAGAAUUUUAGCGGAAAUCGGCUCAGAAUUUCGGCUAAGACUUGCACGAGUGAGAUUGGUGGUGAGGGCUUUGGUCCCACAAGACACACUAGAGACUAAAGAGCUUGGACGAGUGCCCUCUUCCAUUGAGAUUUUCACUCGCACACAUACUAAGAAGAUCCGAACUCCUUUAUUGAUGCCCAUGCUAGGAGCGUUUCUGUAAGUUUACCUUUCUUACCUAUUUUAACCAUUUGUUUAUUUCAUGUUGCUGACGUGUUUAUAUAGUAUGUUCAUGGAAAUAUUAUCUGGAAAUUUAUAGAAAAACUUCAAUAAUAUGUUGGUCGAGCAAACUCAAUGAUAGAAUGACUCCUCAGAUGCAGCUGCUACAUAUCAUGACCAAUUAUAUUUGGAGGCUGCUGGAGGGAAAAGAAAAAGGCGAGUCUAUGGGCUGGGUUCAUAAGCUUCCGUAAUUUAUAGGUCUAGCUAGGGGUGAGCAUUCGAUUCGGCCAAUUUGAUUAAUUUGGUUAAUUUGGCCAAUUCGGUUCGGUGAAUAAAUAUUCAGUUAAAGAAAAUUAAAAUUUCCAUAAUCGAUUAAAACUUAUUUUAUCCGAAUUAAUUAAAUUAACCGACUCUCAAAACUACUUCGUUUUGAUUAAGUAGAUAAUAAAAUUAAAAAUAAAAAAUAUUUUAAUUUUUAUUUUGAUUAAAUAGUGAUUAAUAACUUCAAUUAAUUUUUAUUUUGGUUAAAGUCGGUUAAUCAUAAAUUUCAGUUAAUUAAAUUUUCAUUUUCUUUAACUUUGGUUGGGUUAAUAAUUAAUUCGGUUAUAACGAUUCGGUUAAGUUAGGUUAAAAAUUAAUUCAAUUAAAUUCAGUUAAGGCAAAAAAAUUUUGGGUUAAAAAUUUUACUCAAACUAACUGAAUUGGCCAAAUGCUCAUUCCUAGGUCUAGCUCCUCUAGUGCACGAUCACGAUUAGAGCAGAUGCCCAAUCUUGAGACAAUCCAAAGCAACGGACUGGUGAGAUGCAACUGAUGAGAGAGCAACAAGCAAAUGAGAUGCGUGAAGUACAGAAUAUGCAGUGUAAGAUGCUCCGAUUAUUUCGACAGGACUUCUCAUACUCUUGCUACACCUGCUUCAACUGCUACAGAUCCCCCAACAAAGCACACUACUACUAUAGAUCCUCCAACACAACACACUAUAAAUGAGGAUACUAAUCUUACUAGGGGUAGGCACUAUAUGGUUUGAACCGAACAGAACCAAUUCGGUCUAUUUGAUUUGAUUUUCAAGUUGUUUGGUUAGAUUCGAUAAGAUAUGAGCAUAUAUUUCAAUAUUCGGUUAUUUGUUCGGUUGCAUAGAAAGAAAUCCGAAUAGCCCGAUUAAACUGAAAAACAAAACACAACAUUUUAAGCUAAACCUAUCUUACAUAUUUUAUCUUUUCUUUUAGGUUUUCACAUCUUCAUGUAAAUUGUUCACAUCUAUUUAAAUUCUCUCCCACAGUCCUACUUAAAGAUAUAGUCUACGACUUUGUGCUUCUUCUACAUAACUAAUAUCUCAAUCCUAUCUCCCUCUCAUCUCACUUAACUUGUUCCAAAUUUCAAGUCUCGAACAACACUACUGCUGCAGUUUACCGAUGGAAUUUGGAAAACAAUUGGCAGACUACUGAUGGAUUACCGACGCCAUAAUCAUUAACAACCAUGUAAUUACUGACAGAAUAAUGACGGAAAUAUCAUUAAAAACCACUCAUUUACCAACGGACUCUCGCAAACGUGACCAAAAUUCUCUGACGCAGUACCAACGAAUGAUCGAUGGUUUACCGACGGAUUAUCAAUGAUAGUUUGACAUUCUUUUCACGUCCUCUUACCGACAUGCAUUUGACAUAAUACUGACUGGAGGACUUCCAUCGGCAUAUAUUUUACCGUCCAGAAAUUUAGCAACAAUGUGCGAGUCCUUCGGUAAUAUAUUUUACCGAUCAAUUUCUCAUGUUUAUCAACGGAAAUUUCCGUCAGUAAAGGCUGAUUUUUUUUUUUUUUUUGUUAUUGUUGUAUUGAAAUAAAUGUA